GAUGAAGAACGUAGUGAAAUGCGAUAAGUAAUGUGAAUUGCAGAAUUCAGUGAAUCAUCGAGUUUUUGAACGCAUAUUGCGCCCUCUGGUAUUCCGGGGGGCAUGCCUGUUCGAGCGUCAUUAAAUAACCCUCAAGCAUAGCUUGGUGUUGGGCUUUUUUACGUCCUUGACUGGGAUGGGCCUAAAAAUUAGUGGCGAUGGCUUUUUUACUUUCAAGCGUAGUAAAUCUCGUCUUGCUAAAGAGGAAAAAGAUUUUUUUUCUGCCAAAAAUUUUAACAUUUAAAGUUGACCUCGGAUCAGGUAGGAUCACCCGCUGAACUUAAGCAUAUCAAUAAGCGGAGGA
rnacentral:misc_RNA from 1 species